rnacentral:rRNA from 1 species
UACGUAGGGUCCGAGCGUUGUCCGGAAUUACUGGGCGUAAAGAGCUCGUAGGUGGUUUGUCGCGUUGUUCGUGAAAACUCACAGCUCAACUGUGGGCGUGCGGGCGAUACGGGCAGACUAGAGUACUGCAGGGGAGACUGGAAUUCCUGGUGUAGCGGUGGAAUGCGCAGAUAUCGGGAGGAACACCGAUGGCGAAGGCAGUGGGCUGGGCCGGCACUGACGCUGAGGAGCGAAAGCGUGGGGAGCGAACAGG